AACGAACGCUGGCGGCAUGCCUAACACAUGCAAGUCGAACGAGACCUUCGGGUCUAGUGGCGCACGGGUGCGUAACGCGUGGGAACCUGCCCUUAGGUUCGGAAUAACUCCCCGAAAGGGGUGCUAAUACCGGAUAAUGUCUUCGGACCAAAGAUUUAUCGCCUUUGGAUGGGCCCGCGUUGGAUUAGCUAGUUGGUAGGGUAAAAGCCUACCAAGGCGACGAUCCAUAGCUGGUCUGAGAGGAUGAUCAGCCACACUGGGACUGAGACACGGCCCAGACUCCUACGGGAGGCAGCAGUGGGGAAUAUUGGACCAUGGGCGAAAGCCUGAUCCAGCAAUGCCGCGUGAGUGAUGAGGGCCUUAGGGUUGUAAAGCUCUUUUACCCGGGAUGAUAAUGACAGUACCGGGAGAAUAAGCUCCGGCUAACUCCGUG
rnacentral:rRNA from 1 species